GGACUGUGGCUCAGUGGUGGAGUACUUGCCUAGCAUGUGUGAAGCACUGGGUUCAAUUCUCAGCACCA
rnacentral:tRNA from 1 species